rnacentral:rRNA from 1 species
AGCGGAGCGUGUGGUUUAAUUCGUUGCUACACGAAGAACCUUACCUGGGUUUGACAUAGCAGUGGUAGGGAAGAGAAAUCGGACCGACCUUCGGGAGCUGUUACAGGUGUUGCAUGGCUGUCGUCAGCUCGUGUCGUGAGAUGUUCGGUUAAGUCCGCUAACGAGCGCAACCCGCGUUGUGUGUUAUAUGUGUCACACAAUACCGCCGGUAUUAAGCCGGAGGAAGGUGCGGAUGACGUCAAGUCAGCAUGACCUUUAUAUCCAGGGCUACACACACGCUACAAUGGACAGUACAACAGGUUGCCAAGCCGCGAGGCGGAGCCAAUCCUCUAAAGCUGUCCUCAGUUCAGAUUGCAGGCUGCAACUCGCCUGCAUGAAGUUGGAGUUGCUAGUAACCGCAGGUCAGCUAUACUGCGGUGAAUACGUUCCCGGGGAUU